UAUUGCAUUUUAUAUGUUUGACUAUAAAGUCUUUCAUUCUUUACUCUUCAUCAACAUUUAUUGUUUUCGAUCAUAUUAUUAUAUUAAUCCGCUAUAUGUUUCGAAUUCAUGCGCAAUAUAUAUUUCCGGACAUCUUAAGAGAAAGAAGUAUCAAAAAGUACGUUUGUUUAAUCUCUCGCGGACACUGUUUUUUAUGUAGAAACUAUAGCAAUUGCCAGUCCAUAUCUAUAAGGUCUAUGGUACGGAUCAAAUUUAAUAUGCUAUUUCCAUCGAAAGAUUUGUGGAUCGAAGCGAGAUUGAAAUGAACGCAAUUUGUCGCGUUUCCAUCGACUCAAAUCUGGUUUACGUCAUAUUAAGCCAGCGGCACACGAUGCUUUUUUUCCUGCUGAUUUGCUAGCUGGAUUUGCGUGCUCGUUAUCUCUUGUCUCUGAUUGGUAUAUUCUUUUGGAUCUAAAAAAAUGUACCAAUCGAAGACAAGAGUUCAACAAGCACGCGAUCCAGCUAGCAAAUUAGCAAGAAAAAAAGCAUCAUGUGUCGCUGGUUUUAGAAGUAAAUUAAGACAUCGAUGAAAACUAGACCGGUAUGACAGAUUUCCUAACCAAAAAAGUGAUCAACUUUAACAUUUAAUAUCUCGGUUCGCGAGGCAGAGCGCCGCGUUUUUUUGUCAGAUUCUUUUAUUUUGAGUGAAAUCGCGUCGAUUAAGUCCGAUUUUGUCAAAAUCGGAGUCGAUUUGCUAAAAUGAAAUGGCGGAAGUUCAAUCAUAGCAAAAACUUUCAAUCAUAGCAAAAAAGUGGACGAUAUCAAAAUCAAAUUUAUAAGAAGACUGCACAGUAAAUUAAUUUUAUCAUCGUUAGUGAUAUUAUUACCUUCUUGCAACCAAAGUUUAAAUUGCAAUUUGAUUUAAAAACGA